UGAACCUUAUCCUUCAACCUUCCAUUGACCUCACCAUGAGUAGUUUGGAAGAUCUUUACUGUAAUUCACCUCAAAUUACAGGUAAUUGGAUUCGAAAAGUUUCUUUAUUGUUGGUGAAAUAUGGAGUAUCAUAUAGGAUUUUUCUCUCUAUGACUGUUGGUUGUAAUGAACUCAAAAAAAUGACUGUCACGGCAAUAUCCUAAGUAUAAUUUGAGAACAUUAAAAUUAACCCAAGCUAAAGUCCUGGAUUGAUCAGCAUAUUAAAGUAAUUUUCAGUGAUGACAAAAUAUGGAUAUAUCCCAAUCCUAACAUUAAGCAAAAGUAUGUUAAGUAAGAACAGUCGGAUAUCUCACCUUACAUCACUAAUUUAUUCCAGAACUCUGAACUUAAGUCAAAUCAAUUCUUAAAAAAUGACCUAGAACCUCCUGUAAAUCCAUAUAAAUAGCCCCAAUUCUGUAAUCCAUAUAAAUUAUUUAAUAGCUCAUAUGAAUAUGAGCUUUUAAAUAAUUUUGUAAAUUAUUUUACAUAUUUUAAAAUUCAUUUUUAUGUUAUUUUGCACUUUUCAAUAACGUUUAGGUGAUUUUUAAAAUUUUUAUGUUUUAGUGUGUUCUCUGACUCAUGUAACGUAAAAUUGCAAAACGCGAUGUUAAAAGCUAGCGUAAAAUGCGACGUAAAUACAUCGGAGUAUCCACGCCGUUGGUGUCAUCUUUAAACAACGAUAGACGUAUGCAUCGACAAAAUAGAACGCAUAUCUGGAUAAUCUCCAUUCUGAACUUGCAAUUUGCUUUGAUCUACUUCAGCAGUUGUGUAAUUUCUAAAAUUAAUACUGACUAUGCUGCCAUCUGUCGGAAAAGAAAACAGAAAGUCAACAUAAAAUAUUGUUGGUAAAUAAUACAAUGUAGAUAAUUAUGAUCAAUAAUUUUAUUCUAUUCAGAUAUAAUAGAGAAUUUUCAUGAUGUAAUUAUUAUAAGGAAAUUUGGUUUACAGAUAAUUAAGUUUUACUUUAUCUAAAUAAAAUUUUUAUUAAGAUAAUAAAUUAUCGUUUCGGUUUGGAUAGCAU
rnacentral:lncRNA from 1 species